AGGACGAACGCUGGCGGCGUGCUUAACACAUGCAAGUCGAGCGAGGUUUAGAACCGAGCGGCGAACGGGUGAGUAAUACUUGGGAAUCUACCCUGAAGUGGGGGAUAACGUUCAGAAAUGAACGCUAAUACCGCAUAAUCCAUAUCGGGAAAGCGCGCUGCGCUUUAGGAUGAGCCCAAGUCUGAUUAGCUAGUUGGUGGGGUAAAGGCCCACCAAGGCGACGAUCAGUAGCUGGUCUGAGAGGAUGAUCAGCCACACUGGAACUGAGACACGGUCCAGACUCCUACGGGAGGCAGCAGUGGGGAAUCUUGCGCAAUGGGGGCAACCCUGACGCAGCCAUACCGCGUGUGUGAUGAAGGUCUUCGGAUUGUAAAGCACUUUCAGUGGGGACGACAAUGACGGUACCCACAGAAGAAGUCACGGCUAACUUCGUGCCAGCAGCCGC
rnacentral:rRNA from 1 species